AAACCCACCUCCGCCACCUGUCUUGCCGUGUGUCCUUGGAUCUGUCUGACGGCAGGGCUGGCCGGUGUUUGAAAAGAUGGAGUCGGUGCUACCCUAGAAACGCUUUUUGAGCUGGAUCACUCCGGACCCGCCGUGUGAAGACGUCGCGAAAGGUGGGAGAACGGCUGGAGGAGGCGGAAAGAACCAAGAAGGUUUGGAACAGAACAGUGCCCGGAGGUGAGAAGGAGAGAGAGUUUUAAAUGGCCAUUAAGCCAUUUUCAAGUUAUCUGGGGGAAAAAAAACUGUUGACGGGGGCAUUCUGAGACUCAAUUCAGAGAACUGGGAAAGAGUGAAAUUGGUCACACUGAAACUUUCCAAGUGUCUAGCGCUCACUGGAGAGAGCCUCUGGGUACCAUCGAAAAUAAGAUUACCGUAAGAAACCAAGGAGAAAUUGAGAGAAAAAGAAAUCGUUGCUCAUUAUAUUGCUCUGAAUGGGCAAUGUGAUCCCCUGGAGCGGAGGAAGCUGCCUUCCAUCUCUGGGGUCCGGGGACCACCAGAGAUCACCCUCUCCAUGGGGCCGUGGGGAAUCACGUGGUUGUGGUUAAUGAUAACUUCCCUGUCUCUGAGAUUUCCUGGGCUAAGCGCCAAGUUUUUCCAUCUUUGAGAGAGAGAG